UGCCAGCCGCCGCGGUAAUACGGAGUGUGCAAGCGUUGUUCGGAAUCACUGGGCGUAAAGCGCGCGUAGGCGGCAAGGUAAGUCAGAUGUGAAAUCCCUCGGCUCAACCGAGGAACUGCAUUUGAAACUGGCGAACUUGAGUACGGGAGAGGAAAGUGGAAUUCCGAGUGUAGGGGUGAAAUCCGUAGAUAUUCGGAGGAACACCAGUGGCGAAGGCGGCUUUCUGGACCGAUACUGACGCUGAGACGCGAAAGCGUGGGGAGCAAACAGGAUUAGAUA
rnacentral:rRNA from 1 species